GGUCCACUUAGUAACUUUCUAGAAGGAUCAGAGGAUGAGCGAGUCCUCCAAGCUGCCCCAAGUUCCCACUGGACUUCUGUGGGGGACACAGGGAGGGAACCCAGGGCACCUCACUCAACAGAGAGUGAAGUGGGCUUCAGGCCGGGGGCAAGUUGUGGACCCGCGUGGUUCCUCUUUGCCUAAGCUCUGGUAUCAGUGCCACCUAUCUACUCCCUUCUUAUAGGGAAUGUCGCCCCCGUCACUGCAUGUGGCUCUGGGGAGGCUUCCGGGCACAGCUAACCUACCGUAGGGGCGAACAUGGGAACGCAGGACAUAUUUUCCAAAAAGCACAUUAGGAAUUGGAAAUCCAGGCUGCCACUGGAAGUAGAAAGUCAUCUGAGUGUCACAGUGGACCACAAGAUAAAAUUCAGGAGAGGUGGACUCCUCAUGAAGACGAAUGAAAAUGCCUGAAACCCUUGAAGGGGGAUCUAAAGGAACUGCUAAGAGGUCAAAGGCUCGGGACCAGGAGCGGAGAAAACCAGAACCUCUGCCCAUCCUGGAGCUACACAAUGCUGAGAGAAGAGAGGCAGCCAGCGAAGGGACCGCCAUCAGGAGCCUGGUGAUGUGGCCUUGCCCUGUUCUCAUCCUCCCACCACAUGUCCCCAGUCAAGCCCCCCGUCCCCAAGAGCCCUCAGCCCCGGGAAGACCACCCAGAAUGAGCUCCUCACGGGAGACCGUGCCUGCCUUGGCGC